ACUUGUCAUUACUUCACUUUUUUUUGCUCCCCAGGGUCUCAUUGACGUGGAGAAGGAAGUGGCAAAACUGAUGACAAAGAAAGGUGACUUGGAGAAACAGAUGGAGAAACUGAGAGAGAAUAUGGGGAAGAGUGACUACAAAGAGAAGGUGCCAGCGAAGGUGCAGGAGCAAGAUGCAGAGAAGCUACGGCAGAGCCAAACUGAACUUGAGAAAGUGAAAGAAGCAGUGGAAAACUUCAGGAAAAUGAUGUAACUCCCCCCUCACCAAUAUGUAAAUCAAGAUUUGUUUCCACUUUUUCAUGUCAUUGUGUUAAUUUUCAUAUUCAUUUUUCAAGUUGAUUGUAGCGUGGAAGGACUUCAAUAAAGCUCUUAGACAAGUGUCUUCAGGGA